UACGUAGGGUGCGAGCGUUGUCCGGAAUUAUUGGGCGUAAAGAGCUCGUAGGCGGUGUGUCGCGUCGGCCGUGAAAACCUGCAGCUUAACUGUGGGCUUGCGGUCGAUACGGGCAUCACUGGAGUUCGGCAGGGGAGACUGGAAUUCCUGGUGUAGCGGUGAAAUGCGUAGAUAUCUGGAGGAACACCGGUGGCGAAGGCGGCAUUCUGGACCGAUAUUGACGCUGAGGAGCGAAAGCCAGGGGAGCAAAGCGGGG
rnacentral:rRNA from 1 species